rnacentral:rRNA from 1 species
UACGUAGGGUGCGAGCGGUAAUCGGAUUUACUGGGCGUAAAGCGUGCGCAGGCGGCCCGUUAAGACAGGUGUGAAAUCCCUGGGCUCAACCUAGGAAUUGCGCUUGUGACUGGCGGGCUCGAGUACGGUAGAGGGGGGUGGAAUUCCUGGUGUAGCAGUGAAAUGCGUAGAGAUCACGAGGAACACCGAUGGCGAAGGCAGCCCCCUGGGCCUGUACUGACGCUCAUGCACGAAAGCGUGGGGAGCAAACAGG